AUUGAACGCUGGCGGCAUGCCUUACACAUGCAAGUCGAACGGCAGCACGGGAGCAAUCCUGGUGGCGAGUGGCGAACGGGUGAGUAAUAUAUCGGAACGUGCCCAGUCGUGGGGGAUAACGUAGCGAAAGCUACGCUAAUACCGCAUACGAUCUACGGAUGAAAGCGGGGGAUCGCAAGACCUCGCGCGAUUGGAGCGGCCGAUAUCAGAUUAGCUAGUUGGUGGGGUAAAAGCUCACCAAGGCGACGAUCUGUAGCUGGUCUGAGAGGACGACCAGCCACACUGGAACUGAGACACGGUCCAGACUCCUACGGAGGCAGCAGUGGGAAUUUUGGACAAUGGGCGCAAGCCUGAUCCAGCAAUGCCGCGUGCAGGAUGAAGGCCUUCGGUUGUAAACUGCUUUUGUUACGGAACGAAACGGUGAGCUCUAAUAAAAGCUUUGCUAAUGAGGUACCGUAAGAAUAAGGCACCGGCUAACUACGUGCC
rnacentral:rRNA from 1 species